rnacentral:misc_RNA from 1 species
GGACUACCCGGGUUUCUAAUCCUGUUUGCUCCCCACGCUGUCGCGCCUCAGCGUCAGUAAUAGGCCAGGUCGCCGCCUUCGCCACCGGUGUUCUUCCCAAUAUCUACGAAUUUCACCUCUACACUGGGAAUUCCACGACCCUCUCCUACCCUCUAGCAUAGCCGUCUCAAACGCAGCCCCCAGGUUAAGCCCAGGAAUUUCACGCCUGACUGACUAAGCCGCCUACGCGCCCUUUACGCCCAGUAAUUCCGAGCAACGCUAGCCCCCUUCGUAUUACCGCGGCUGCUGGCAC